GGACGAACGCUGGCGGCGCGCCUAACACAUGCAAGUCGAACGGUGAAGAGGAGCUUGCUCCUCGGAUCAGUGGCGGACGGGUGAGUAACACGUGAGCAACCUGGCUCUAAGAGGGGGAUAACAGUUGGAAACGACUGCUAAUACCGCAUAAGCCCACAGCUCGGCAUCGAGCAGAGGGAAAAGGAGCAAUCCGCUUUGAGAUGGCCUCGCGUCCGAUUAGCUAGUUGGUGAGGUAACGGUCCCACCAAGGCAACGAUCGGUAGCCGGACUGAGAGGUUGAACGGCCACAUUGGGACUGAGACACGGCCCAGACUCCUACGGGAGGCAGCAGUGGGGAAUAUUGCACAAUGGGGGAAACCCUGAUGCAGCGACGCCGCGUGGAGGAAGAAGGUCUUCGGAUUGUAAACUCCUGUUGUUGAGGAAGAUAAUGACGGUACUCAACAAGGAAGUGACGGCUAACUACGUG
rnacentral:rRNA from 1 species